UCAAAGAAGUAUUACACUUAAUCCCUAGUGAUGCCAGGAGGCCAGGCAUUUGUUCCAAUAUGGCUGCUACUGCUGAAAACAUUUGAGUCUCGUCUUCUGGAAGUGCCCGUUAAAAAUUUUAAAGCAGAGAAAACAAAAGCUCAGCUGGAAGAGACUGAAAUGGAGGCACCUACUUUCAAGCCCAGACUUUAAGAGAGAACACUUCCAGAAGCCGACUUGGCCUUGAAGUUCUGACUCAUUUAUAAGACCAUGUGUUACAAAUCACAGCUUUCGGUUCGAUACUUGGCAGACCAAGGCAGAUGUUUGGCUGGAAAAAUUGCUGUUACCUGAAGUUGUGUGUUAGCAGAGAAAGAGAUACCUGCAUGGUGACAGUGGCCACUCUCCUGUCCUGCUGGCAGAUGAAACCUCCCAAAUCCUCCCAAAGUGCUGCAGCAUCCACGUGCAGAAGGGUAUUUGCAUUCACUUGAUGCCUCAUUGUAAGGAAGGACACCAUUGACAGCACAUAGCAUCACUAUUAUUAUUGCUAAACAGAUGGAAAAUAAUUGUUUAUGGAAUUUGUGUUUUAAUCACAUUAAUGUCUUUGGCAGGGAGAUCCACCUAAGUACACAAUUCAAAGCCUGCCUUUGAUCUGGGCCCCGUGGGGGCAUUUUCCAUGACUGAUAAAAUGC
rnacentral:lncRNA from 1 species